CCCUUAGAUGUCCGGGGCUGCACGCGCGCUACACUGAAGGAAUCAGCGUGCUAAAACCAUUGUCGAAAGGCAUUGGUAAACCCAUUAAAAUCCUACGUGAUUGGGAUCGGGAAUUGCAAUUAUUUCCCUUGAACGAGGAAUUCCCAGUAAGUGUGGGUCAUAAGCUCGCGUUGAUUACGUCCCUGCCCUUUGUACACACCGCCCGUCGCUGCCCGGGACUGAACCGUUUCGAGAAAAGCGGGGACUGCUGCUGUCGGGGCUUUCGGGCCUUGGCUUCGGUGGAAACCGCUUUAAUCGCAGUGGCUUGAACCGGGCAAAAGUCGUANCA
rnacentral:rRNA from 1 species